rnacentral:tRNA from 1 species
CAGUAGGUAUAGGAGCCAGGUUUAUCUAGCCUCCCUUGGAAGGAGGAGCACGCAGGUUCGAAUCCUGCCCUACUGA